UACGUAGGUGGCGAGCGUUAUCCGGAAUUACUGGGUGUAAAGGGCGCGCAGGCGGGGAGACAAGUCAGAUGUGAAAUACCGGUGCUUAACACCGGGGCUGCAACUGAAACUGUUUUUCUUGAGUGUCGGAGAGGGAAGCGGAAUUCCCAGUGUAGCGGUGAAAUGCGUAGAUAUUGGGAGGAACACCAGUGGCGAAGGCGGCUUUCUGGACGACAACUGACGCUGAGGCGCGAAAGCGUGGGGAGCAAACAGGAUUAGAUACC
rnacentral:rRNA from 1 species